UUACUCUGUGUAAUAUAAUAGACUUUCCAAUGUCAGCUGAAGAUUUAGCACAUCUUUAUAAUUUUGAAUUAUCAGAUUUUUUUUUAGUACUUUCAGAAUGGAUAUUUCUUCAAUAUUACUUGUGUGCAGAAUAAUACAGUGAGCAUAACAUCUUUACUAGGAGGAGGUGCAGAUAGCACAGGAGCAGGCAUUGCUCACAGGCUUGUACUGAGGACAGGACUAAAUAUCAUACUAGCGUGCAACAUUCCAAAGGGCAGUCCCAUGCUUGAGGCACAUGCAGAAAGAAUACUUAUUCAGAAGUUGAAUAGUCUGGGUUAUUCAAAGGAUGAAUGUAAGAGGCGUUCUCCUGUCAGUGUUACCUAAAGAGGUUAUGCAUGGCUAUGCAAUUGCAUUUUCAAAGAUAAUUUUGUUGAUCUUAUCUCUCGUCUAUUUGUAAUUAA